rnacentral:rRNA from 1 species
AUUGAACGCUGGCGGCAUGCUUUACACAUGCAAGUCGAACGGCAGCACGGACUUCGGUCUGGUGGCGAGUGGCGAACGGGUGAGUAAUACAUCGGAACGUGCCCAGUUGUGGGGGAUAACUACGCGCAAGAGUAGCUCAUACCGCAUGAGAACUGAGGUUGAAAGCAGGGGAUCGUAAGACCUUGCGCAAAUGGAGCGGCCGAUGGCAGAUUAGGUAGUGGGUGGGAUACAAGCUUACCAAGCCGACGAUCCGUAGCUGGUCUGAGAGGACGACCAGCCACACUGGGACUGAGACACGGCCCAGACUCCUACGGGAGGCAGCAGUGGGGAAUUUUGGACAAUGGGCGAAAGCCUGAUCCAGCAAUGCCGCGUGCAGGAUGAAGGCCUUCGGGUUGUAAACUGCUUUUGUACGGAAUGAAAGCUUCGGGUUAAUACCCUGGAGUCAUGACGGUACCGUAAGAAUAAGCACCGGCUAACUACGUGCCAGCAGCCGCAGUAA